UGUUUUCAUAUGUCAGAUGCAUCAAGAAACUGUUUAAGAAGCUGCUUUAAAUUCCCAAGAGCAGAACAUCGUGCACUUUACAAAAAUAUUUUAAUUUCUUAAUAGGUCAAUAUUUAUAAUAGAUGCACCCUGUCAAUAUUUUACGCAUCUUUACGUUCAGCUUAGUGCUAGGGCAUUCAAAUUCUAACAAUACGUUUUUUCAAUAGUUUUGGGGUUUUGGGGGACACCCUGCAUGUAUACUGAAUCCAUGGGCAUGGGUGCGUAAACACAAUUCAGUCGAAUUUUAUGCAUGAAAAUUAAAAGCCUUUUUGGUUCCGUUAUAAUUAUUAUUUGCUGUAAAGCAAUAAAGUAUAUGACUAAUUUGUAUUUUUCCAGUAGCAGAAAAUCUUGUGCUUUACAAACAUGGGUUCAGCAUACAGGGUGUCCCAAAAACCCAAAAACUAUUGAAAUAACGUGUUGUUAUAUAGAAUAUGAA